GUUACGAGUCCCAGAGCAGUCUGGGUACUGGGCUGGAGCCAUCAGAGCUUCAGUUACAGCUGAUGUGGAUAAGGAAGGAAAAACAACCCAGGGGCUAACAUGACAGAGCAACUCAGGGUGGAAAGUUUAAAGGAAGUGAAGACGGCGCCCUCUUGCUGAAGAGAUGUGGAGUGAGGAGGCAUUGACCCCGGAGUUAUGCCUCCAAUGUCGGCAUGGUGCCCUCUGCUGGCUACAAAGAACACUGGCCUGCUCACACCCUUUCUAAACACCUGUGAUUUGAUGCCAGAUCGUCCACAGCCUCUGACUCUGAUGUCAUCCACCACGAUGGGUCUGUCUGGGAUUGUGAAUCCAAAUUCCUUCAAGUAUCUACAAUGAAGGGGAUGGUGUUAAAUAAAAUACAUGGAAACUAAC